ACUUAAAUAGCUUAUAUUAGAGUUUAAUAUUGAAGAUAUUAAGGAAGUGUAAAACUUUUAAGUA
rnacentral:tRNA from 1 species